UAGGGAAUAUUGGUAAUGGGCGAAAGCCCGAACCAGCAACGCCGCGUGCGCGAUGAAGGCCUUCGGGUCGUAAAGCACUUUUUGAGAGGAUGAGGAAGGACGGUACUCUCAGAAUAAGUCUCGGCUAACUACGUGCCAGCAGCCGCGGUAACACGUAGGAGGCAAACGUUAUCCGGAUUUACUGGGCGUAAAGCGCGUGUAGGUGGUUUGGUAAGUAGAGUGUGAAAGCUCCUGGCUUAACUGGGAGAGGUCGUUCAAAACUGUCAGACUUGAGAGUGGUAGAGGGAGGUGGAAUUCCGGGUGCAGUGGUGAAAUGCGUAGAUAUCCGGAGGAACACCAGUGGCGAAAGCGGCCUCCUGGCCCAUUUCUGACGCUCAGACACGAAAGCUAGGGUAGCAAACG
rnacentral:rRNA from 1 species